rnacentral:rRNA from 1 species
AGUGAACGCUGGCGGUAGGCCUAACACACGCAAGUCGAACGGCAGCACAGUAAGAGCUUGCUCUUACGGGUGGCGAGUGGCGGACGGGUGAGGAAUACAUCGGAAUCUACUUUUUCGUGGGGGAUAACGUAGGGAAACUUACGCUAAUACCGCAUACGACCUACGGGUGAAAGCAGGGGAUCUUCGGACCUUGCGCGAUUGAAUGAGCCGAUGUCGGAUUAGCUAGUUGGCGGGGUAAAGGCCCACCAAGGCGACGAUCCGUAGCUGGUCUGAGAGGAUGAUACGGCACACUGGAACUGAGACAAGGUCCAGACUCCUACGGGAGGCAGCAGUGGGGAAUAUUGGACAAUGGGCGCAAGCCUGAUCCAGCCAUACCGCGUGGGUGAAGAAGGCCUUCGGGUUGUAAAGCCCUUUUGUUGGGAAAGAAAAGCAGCAGGUUAAUACCCCGCUGUUCUGACGGUACCCAAAGAAUAAGCACCGGCUAACUUCGUG